CCUACGGGGGGCAGCAGUGAGGAAUAUUGGUCAAUGGACGAGAGUCUGAACCAGCCAAGUAGCGUGAAGGAUGACUGCCCUAUGGGUUGUAAACUUCUUUUAUAUGGGAAUAAAAUGUUCCACGUGUGGGAUUUUGUAUGUACCAUAUGAAUAAGGAUCGGCUAACUCCGUGCCAGCAGCCGCGGUAAUACGGAGGAUCCGAGCGUUAUCCGGAUUUAUUGGGUUUAAAGGGAGCGUAGGUGGAUUGUUAAGUCAGUUGUGAAAGUUUGCGGCUCAACCGUAAAAUUGCAGUUGAUACUGGCAGUCUUGAGUACAGUAGAGGUGGGCGGAAUUCGUGGUGUAGCGGUGAAAUGCUUAGAUAUCACGAAGAACCCCGAUUGCGAAGGCAGUUCACUGGACUGCAACUGACACUGAGGCUCGAAAGUGUGGGUAUCAAACAGGAUUAGAUACCCGUGUAGUC
rnacentral:rRNA from 1 species